CCUACGGGUGGCAGCAGUGGGGAAUAUUGCACAAUGGGGGAAACCCUGAUGCAGCGACGCCGCGUGAGUGAAGAAGUAUUUAGGUACGUAAAGCUCCAUCAGCAGGGAAGAAAAUGAAGGUACCUGACCAAGAAGCCCCGGCCAACUACGGGCCAGCAGCCGCGGUAAGAUGCAGGGGGCCAGCGUUAUCCGGAUUUACUGGGUGUAAAGGGGGCGUAGACGGCAGCGCAAGUCUGGAGUGAAAUCCCAUGGCUUAACCAUGGAACUGCGUUGGAAACUGUGCAGCUAGAGUGCAGGAGAGGUAAGCGGAAUUCCUAGUGUAGCGGUGAAAUGCGUAGAUAUUAGGAGGAACACCAGUGGCGAAGGCGGCUUACUGGACUGUAACUGACGUUGAGGCUCGAAAGCGUGGGUAGCAAACAGGAUUAGAUACCCGAGUAGUC
rnacentral:rRNA from 1 species